UCGACGUAAAGCCGGAGGAAGGUGAGGAUGAUGUCAAGUCAGCAUGACCUUUUAUAUCCAGGGCUACACACACGCUACAAUGGUCUGUACAAUGGGUAGCCAAGCCGCGAGGCGGAGCCAAUCCUGAAAGCAGGCCUCAGUUCAGAUUGCAGUCUGCAACUCGACUGCAUGAAGCCGGAGUUGCUAGUAACCGCAGGUCAGCAAUACUGCGGUGAAUACGUUCCCGGGUCUU
rnacentral:rRNA from 1 species